rnacentral:tRNA from 1 species
UUUCUGGCAGUCCAGUGGUUAGGACUCCACCCUUUCACUGUGGGGGCCUGGGUUCAGUUCCUGGUCAGAGAA